rnacentral:piRNA from 1 species
GUGGCCGAGUGGUUAAGGCGUUG